rnacentral:lncRNA from 1 species
UAAAAAAGGAGGAGAGAGAGAGUGAGUGUGUCGUGUGUGUGUGUGUGUGUAUAUAUAUACAUAUACAUAUACAUAUAUAUAUAUAUAUAUAUAUAUAUAUAUAUAUAUAUAGUGGGGAGGGUAGAAAAGGAGGAGAGAAAAGGGGCAGCCAAGGCAAUUCUUCUAGCCAAAGCAGGUGGAAGCAAAGAAAGGGGAAAAUAAGGCAGAAUCCACAGCAGUAGAGCCACCCGUUAAAACCACACACAGGCAAUGCGCCUGCUUCUUUCCUACCAACACAACCCAUUGGCGCCCCCGUAUUUACAAGGCAAGAGGAAGGGGAGCACCCCAUUUCAAGGAGAGACCCUCAUUUUAAGCUGAGACAGACCCCCGUUUGAAGGGGAGGGAAGAGACCAACAUUGGAAGGGGAGGGAGAAGGAAGCCCAUUUUAAGAGAGGAAGAGGAGACCCCCCCCCUAUUUUACCCCCCCCCCUCCAAGUCGCAUCUCAUUCCCCCUCCGCAUUGAUCUGUCUUGAAAACACACCGCCUUUUAAAGAAACCCUCCUUUUGGAAACGAGUCCCUGCAGCAAGCCCCGCGCCCAGUGUAUUGUAUUGUAUAUGGCAAACUCUCUUGGUUCCCACGAUCCGAGGAUCCGCAGCACAACCGCCACCGCCCCCCCCCCCCCCCACAGCCUCCGUGGAUCGGACCCCAAUUCCCCAAACCUUUCUCUAAAUGCCGGGAGAAGCAAAUCAAGGGAAACAAGGCAACCUCCCUCCUCCCGACUCCUCUCUGCCGCAAAGUGGACCCACUCACUGCCUGCAAAGCCUUGGCUUCCUACCUGCUGCUGCUGCUCCUCCGCAACUUCUUUAUUUUGCGGCUCCUUUUCCUCUCUCUGCCAGGAAUCCGCGUGGAAAUCGUGGAACGAAUCUGAGGCCUGGAUGGUGAUGAUACAGACCACAGAACACUGAUGCACAGUAAGAGCUUUCUUUUACACACUUUUGUGCAGGUUUGUUGUCUGUCCACCACAGUUUGACACGAAUUUUGAAUGAACAGUAUUAUAUAGGGUCUUAGUGCAAGAUCAGUUACUUUAGUGUGGACCCAGCAUAUCUCUGAGCUCAGGAUCUGCGGAUUCAGACAACCUUGGAUUCAAAGCAAAGGCGGUGGCAAGCCUUGGCUACAAGUCACUUGCUAGCCUAUCAUUUGCUUCAGCCUUGUGAAUGAAUAAGCUGAAGUCCCACAACCAUCACCUCAAAUACUUGCUGCCACCUCCACCGAUGCCCUACACCAUUUUAUUAAUAGGGACUCCAGCAUCCAAUGAUUAUGGUGAUGAUCUAUGCAAAAUCUUGGGUCUUCACGACAAAUGGCAAGAAGUCUGCUAAACCAAAAUUAAUCUAAAAGAAGCUGCCUGCCUAUGGACCCCACAAGAGAAAGACAGAGGGAACUCACAAUUUUUCCAAGACUAAAAGGAUUAACACCCCUGUCAUGUGUUAACAAAACUGGAUCUAUGUAACCUCCACUGGAAUGAUCAGUCAGAAGUAGAGUGGACUCUUGCUAUCCACAGGUAUUUGGUUCACAUCCCCGCCUUCCUAAUCUCUAUGCCUUUAGAAUUUGUGGGAUGGGCAGAAAAUGCAAUGACUAGAUAUUUCCACAGCACUGAGUCUAAGGUUUUGAAGAGUUUGGGGAUGACUCUCAUGCUGGUUAGAAGUUGCUGGGAAUCAGAGUACUGUACAUAGGAGAAUUUUUCCAAACUCUGACUGAGAUGUCCUGCUGAGACCUGACUCAGUCGUAGAAGGCACAUAGUGUGCAAGAAAGCCCCAGUUCCAAUUCUGGUCUUGUGGUGGGAGAGACAUUCCUGUCUGAAACCACUGGUAAUUGGUGUGUUCAAUAAUGAACUGGAGAGAUCAGAGCCAGAGGAAAGGACUAGCUCCAAUGGUUUUAAGUUACGGAAGGAUAGAUUUCUGAUGAACAUUAGAAGGAACGUAUUGAGAAUGGUUUGACAAUGGAAUCAAUUACCUAGGGAGGUAGUGAGGUCUCUUUCUCACUACCAGGUUUCAAAAAGAAACCAGAUAGCUACAUGUUUGGGAUAUUCUGGCACCAUUUCUUGCAUUAAAUUGGCCUCUUUAGCCAAUGGGGCCUAGUCCAACUAUUAUUCUAUAUGUCUGAUUUUAUAUGAAACAAGGAUAAGCAUAGAAGACUGUCUUUAUGGCCCAGACUCAGCAGAAUCCGAUUUUUCUAGCGAAAAUAAACUCCCCCCCCCCUCUUAAACGCCUUCAAAACCAGUGUUUCCCAAACACUAUUCAACGUAUAUACACACAAAGAUUCCCAUAUUUUAAAAACCAUAAAAUUUUCAACCAUAUUUUGCAAGAAAGAGGUGGGCAGAAUUGACUCAGAGACCUGCUUCAAUUGCUUACUCAGUGGAAAAACCUGCUUUUAAUGAAUUUUUGUUCCCUAAUCCUUUUCAAGAGUUUACAUGUUCUGCAUUUCUUUAGUGGAGCUUUGGGCACCAUAUGUGGUUUGCCACCCUGUUCUUCAGUCUUCGCAAUAAUGCUGCAAAAUCGAUUGAGCUUAGGAAGAUCGGGUGCACCUAAGGCUGAGUUGGGAUUUGAUCCCCCAUUGACUCUGAGAUCACUCUGCAGUGGCUCUCAGCUGGUAUGUUUCUCACCUAUGUGCCUUCCUCUUUGUUACAUACUAUGCAGAUGUUAUGCAUUGGAAAGCUAAGGCUUGCUCCUUUUUCUUUUAGCCUUCAGAAGAGAAACAGUUAACUGAAGCUAUAGCCUGUUUGCUUGUAUGCAGCUGCUGGUAAUUGUGUACAACAGUCAAUGAAUGAUUAUAUGACUGCGUCAGUUGAGGACAAUUGAACAUUUAUUAGUAUAAGCAGAAUGGGCUUGGUGGUAUUCCCAGUAAUCAUUGAACCGUGGGGAUAAUUGCUAUCAUAAAUAGGGUUGACCUGAGGAGAGGUUUUGUUUGUUUGUUGGUUUUUGCCUUUGCCCUCUUCUUAAUUGUAUAUGUCACUGUCUUGUACUAAGCCCUCUCUCCACUUGGACAGAGUCUAUCAGUCUUUUAUUACUGUCAAUGAAGAAGCUGAGCGCAUUUAGCUCAGAAAUUCAAAAAACCCUUUGUGGUUUGAGAUAAUCAAUAUAAAUUGUCCACAAAUACUUUUUAAAACAAAUCAGGGAAUCAUUUGAGAUCUUCUUUUUCCACUUCUUGAACUGCAGAUAUGUCAACCUGAAAGCAAACUAGCUACAAUCUGAAUUAUUUUGUAAACGGAACCUGAUUUGCAUUUCUCAGGCACAGACAGUGAGUAGGUGUUGCCAUGUAAAUGUCUGCAUUUAUGAAGCAAGAAGCUUUUGCAGAGUCACUGAUGAGCUAUCGAUUACUAUCAUGCUCUUCUGGCAGGACGAGUGACCACUUUGUUUGCAUUAUAGAUUAACUAAUGGCUGAUAGAUAUAUUAUACAUGUCUACUUUUUUCCUGACCACAAGAGAAAGAAAUAGUACCAUUAGCGAUAUCUUAUCUAAUCAAUGACUUGCAUCAGUAUGUUUGAGAAAAACAGUGCACAUUUGUGCAUGCAUAUGUGCCUUCAAAUCAGAUGCC